rnacentral:rRNA from 1 species
ACCAGGGGGGGCAGCUACACAUGCAGUCGAGCGAACCUUCGGGUUAGCGGCGGACGGGUGAGUAACGCGUGGGAACGUACCCUCUUCUGCGGGAUAGCCACUGGAAACGGUGAGUAAUACCGCAUACGCCCUUCGGGGGAAAGAUUUAUCGGAGGAGGAUCGGCCCGCGUUGGAUUAGGUAGUUGGUGGGGUAAUGGCCUACCAAGCCUACGAUCCAUAGCUGGUUUUAGAGGAUGAUCAGCCACACUGGGACUGAGACACGGCCCAGACUCCUACGGGAGGCAGCAGUGGGGAAUCUUAGACAAUGGGCGCAAGCCUGAUCUAGCCAUGCCGCGUGAGUGACGAAGGCCUUAGGGUCGUAAAGCUCUUUCGCCAGAGAUGAUAAUGACAGUAUCUGGUAAAGAAACCCCGGCUAACUCCGUGCCAGCAGCCGCGGUAAUACGGAGGGGGUUAGCGUUGUUCGGAAUUACUGGGCGUAAAGCGCACGUAGGCGGAUUGGAAAGUUGGGGGUGAAAUCCCAGGGCUCAACCCUGGAACUGCCUCCAAAACUCCCAGUCUGGAGUUCGAGAGAGGUGAGUGGAAUUCCGAGUGUAGAGGUGAAAUUCGUAGAUAUUCGGAGGAACACCAGUGGCGAAGGCGGCUCACUGGCUCGAUACUGAC